CAACUACUCCCUCCGUCCGAAAAUACUUGUCAUCAAAAUGGACAAAAAGGGAUGUAUCUAGAACUAAAAUAUAUCUAGAUACAUCUCCUUUUAUUCAUUUUGAUGACAAGUAUUUCCGGACGGAGGGAGUAUAAG
rnacentral:pre_miRNA from 1 species